UUUUACCGCCCCUAGCGGCCAUUUUAGGUAUCCGCAGUAGUGGUGCUGUGCUAUGGUCGUGGACGGCGCGGGUUCCUUUUGUCCAGGUUUCUUGGCCGUGAAGCAUGAGGUGACACGUCCCUGAGAUGUGGUGUGGCACAUCUCACUGAAUGCCAUGAUGCGCUCUGGCACCGGGCUUCAAAGCAAAGCAAUGCAAAGCAAAGCAGAAGGAGAAGUGCUUGCAGCUGCCCCAGCAAAGAGUGGCUGGGACACGGUCCUGCGUGAAGGCAAGUCCGUACUCCAGCUCGUAGGAAGCUUCCUCCACUCACAACAGAGGAGACAAAAUGCCCGGAGAAAGUGAGAAAUCAAAGUCAGGGAUGGGAAUAAAAGCAACAGAGACUUUGCUUGUACAAAACCAGCCCAGCACAAGGAAGUUAUCAGCAGCGGUGGACAUAGCCAGAGGAGCAAGGACAGUCAGAAAACCUGCUGGUCAAGUGGCAGCCCGGCUGUACCUCCUAGCUUACGUCCUUUUUGGGUAAUGAAAGAAGCUACAGUUUCUUAAAGGAAGGACAGAGGAACAUCCUCUUCAGACUGACACAAAAAGGGUUAAAGAGAGAACAGCCUGGGCUGAGCUCUGCUCCUCUUUGCAUCUGGACUUGCAUGAAAUCAAACCAGGCCAGCAGUUUGUCUACUCCAACUAAAAUGUAAAUGGAAAAUGUGCAAUACAUGCAUUAAAAAAAAACAAAAACAACAACAAAAAAAAAAACCAAAAAACAAAAAAACAGUGCAGGAGGCAUUUAUGCGUGUCUCACAGUGAGGUUGUAGCCAGCAGUGCAGAAGAAUGAAUCUUCAUUUUCUGCUCGUUUCUUUCAAGUACCUUGUUUCUGUUUAGAAAGCAAAGUGUUAAGUAUUUGCAAAUACAACAGCCCUGCAAA
rnacentral:lncRNA from 1 species